rnacentral:lncRNA from 1 species
GCUUUGAGGGUUUAAAACCUUACUUAUGUCCACUCGGCUCUCCGACUCCUGUUUUUGAAUGAUGAUGUAAGCUCUCCGUUCCUGCUCCACAUGCCUACUGCUUGCUGCCAUGGCUUUCCACCGUGACGUGACGGACUCUUGCCCUCUGGAACCGAAAGCCAAAAUCAACUCUCUCUUGGUCCCCAUCUGGCAGUUCUUGGGGGACUUGCUGGAAGAAGCUGUCAUCCAGGAGAUGGCCUUUGGAAAUUACACCUUGGUCCUUGGCUCUGCCCUGUUCUCCUCCCUGGUCCAAUGCAAUGUCGGGGAACUUGAACCACACACUCCCACCGUCACAGACCAAGCUGUACGUCUUGCCCAUCCCUGCCAUGGAGGACAGAAGCCUCUGAGAUCAUGAGUCACAUGACUAACACAGAUGCACCAUUCCAUUCUGGGAAAGGACAGAGACCCACCUGCUUCUGCAUCUGGAGUGCUGAAAUUAAUGACA